CAAUUCAUGUUGCAAGAUUUUAUCCUAUUUGAAAUGAUCCAAGAGUACUCUUCUUUCAACUUUAGUUUCAAGUUACAAAAUAUGGAGAAACUAUUUUAGAUAGACAUUAACAAAACAAGGACAGCCACCACAAGCCCCAGGAUUUCCCCUGUAACUUUCAGGAUCACCCCGGGAACUUUAGGGCCCCAUGUGUUAAUGAACAGUGCCGUGGAGUUACACCUGUGGCUUUCAGGCCUCACCUGUUAGUGGACAGCCCCUGCAACUUUCCAUUCCCUGGCUCUCUCAGGAGUUUAUUCAGUCUCUUGGCUGCUCAGCCAGUGGUGGGGCUGCACCCCUCAGAACUAUGAGGCCUGUGAAAGAGCUGGGAGUCAGCAAUCAGAGACACUGAUGGUUUAAUGGAUGUGGGAGCUUACGCGGCUGAAGCAAGAUCCUGGAAGGACACGCCACUGCUUGUGGAGGACAGCAGGCAGGAAGUGACGCAGUGUUCAUUCCUAGGCCAGCAAAACUGAGUUCUGGAAUACAGGCCCAAAUAUGAAUUUCUUGGGAGAGUCCUGGGGAACCUCACAGAACUGAAGGAGAGCUGAAACUCUGGCUUCUGGGGCUCAAGGAGAGAGAAUCUCUGGAGAUCUCAACCGUGGAAAGGUUUAGACUCUGUAGGGCAGUUCCUUGGCUCCCAGAGCUGCUUUUUUGGGUGUGGAUGCUGAGUUUCAUGUCCCAGGAGAAGCUGGUGUGUUUAAGUUUGGGUCAGGUGAUUUAGAUCCAGGACCCAGGUGGAGGUGGGUGAGGAAGCUGGGGCCACUGGGGCUUCCCUUGAGUACGAGGGGGGCUUUCCUACAGCAGGAAAAGUCGUUGUGACCUGGAGCCGCCCUCCUGUGGCUGCUGUGUUGCCCAGAUGGCCCCUUCUGGAUUGAAGAACCUAUUCCCCAGCUUCUGGGAGUGUCCAGGUCAGGUGGAGAGCCCAAAGCGGUCAGCCUACCCUGGGGAAGCCACCUUGCUUUCGGUCAAGCUCCCCAUCUGGGCAUCCCAUUCCCAGAGACUGGUGGGAAUGUGUGGCACUGUCUGCAGGCACAGCAUGCACCAUUCCAAAGGGACCUCUCAGCGUCAGAGCUUCCCACAGACACAGCCCAGUCCAGCUUCUCCGUAAGCCCAGACUAAGUCCUUCCGUUCCCCAACAGGUCAGGACUCCUUCCUCCCAAGAGCACUCCCCAAGAUCUUCCCGUGCUCU
ensembl:lncRNA